GACGAACGCUGGCGGCGUGCUUAACACAUGCAAGUCGAACGGAAAGACACUGCUUUUGUGGGGUGCUCGAGUGGCGAACGGGUGAGUAACACGUGAGUAACCUGCCCUUGACUUUGGGAUAACUUCAGGAAACUGAGGCUAAUACCGGAUAGGAGCCCCUGCUCCAUGGUGGGGGUUGGAACGUUUCGGCGGUUGGGGAUGGACUCGCGGCUUAUCAGCUUGUUGGUGGGGUAGUGGCUUACCAAGGCGUUGACGGGUAGCCGGCCUGAGAGGGUGACCGGCCACAUUGGGACUGAGAUACGGCCCAGACUCCUACGGGAGGAAGCAGUGGGGAAGAUUGCACAAUGGGCGGAAGCCUGAUGCAGCAACGCCGCGUGCGGGAUGACGGCCUUCGGGUUGUAAACCGCUUUCGCCUGUGACGAAGCGUGAGUGACGGUAAUGGGUAAAGAAGCACCGGCUAACCACGUG
rnacentral:rRNA from 1 species